UUUUAGUUAGAAUUUUUUAAAUUCAUAUGAUUUAUUAACAAUAAAUUGCUAAUUAUUUAGCUUUAACUAA
rnacentral:tRNA from 2 species